rnacentral:lncRNA from 1 species
GGAAUAAAAAAGAAAAAAUUAUUGGAAGCGGCAUUGAAGGAUGUUCGUCUGAAAACAUUUGGCAAAAUCAAGCCAAUUGAUUGUACGCCGGAGAUGUUAGAUAUUGUAACUCUAGAGGGCUAGCAUGGUGUGGAAGUAGUUCUUCAAGAAAGUUCUAUAGAUCACCUUGUUAGUGCCUGCAAGUUUAUCUACCAGUCCGAUUUUGUUUGUCAAUUCUAACCCCUUUCCUAUGUGUAACUAAUACAUUGCGACAAGAAAAUCUCCAUUAGUCCCUCA